rfam:Gossypium raimondii Chr02_contig_603, whole genome shotgun sequence.
UGUUAAAAAGUUUAUCUAUUUGUACUGUUAAAAACUAGUGUGGCUGAUAAAUAAUCAAAUAAUGACUUGUAACGCGCCACAUGUAUUUCAUGCUAACGUAUAGGGACUCAUUUUUUAACCGUACAAAUAGAUAAAAUUUUAAAAA